rnacentral:rRNA from 1 species
UACGGAGGGUGCAAGCGUUAUCCGGAUUCACUGGGUUUAAAGGGUGCGUAGGUGGGCAGGUAAGUCAGUGGUGAAAUCUCCGGGCUUAACCCGGAAACUGCCAUUGAUACUAUUUGUCUUGGAUACUGUGGAGGUCAGCGGAAUAUGUCAUGUAGCGGUGAAAUGCAUAGAUAUGUCACAGAACACCAAUUGCGAAGGCAGCUUACUAAGGUGCAAUUGACGCUGGAGGCACGAAAGCGUGGGGAUCAAAACAGGAAUUAGACUACCCCGAGUAAG